GACACUAUAGCUUAGUGGUUGAGCAUACGAUUGCAAUAUAGGCUUCUGUUUACUGUCAUCGUGAGGUCCCGUGUUCGAACCACGGUAGUGUCU